rnacentral:rRNA from 1 species
UGCGGAAGGAUCAUUACCAAGAACCACACAGAAAAGGGAGGCAAAGGGGCCUACAGGGCUAGUAGCUUAUACGUUGUUGAACGUCCUGCCUGGACCCGGAGCCGCCCCCAUCUAAACCCUCUGCGUACCUGUCCCUUCUUGCUUCCCCCGGCAUCUCGUCGGGGGGAGGUAACAACCAAAACUCUCUGUGAAUCAAACAGCCGUCAGAAUUAUAAAACAAACAAAAGUUAAAACUUUCAACAACGGAUCUCUUGGUUCCCACAUCGAUGAAGAACGCAGCGAAAUGCGAUAAGUAAUGUGAAUUGCAGAAUUCAGUGAAUCAUCGAAUCUUUGAACGCACAUUGCGCCCCCUGGUAUUCCGGGGGGCAUGCCUGUUCGAGCGUCAUAAAAACCUCCUCCCCCUUCGGGUUUUGUUACUAUCGUUGGGGGGUUUUGGCCUAAUGGGAUAGCGAUUGGCAAUUCGUUUCCCAAUGUCCUAAAUAGACGUAGACCCGCCUCCAGAUGCGACAGCACCGAGGCCAUCAACCGUGGAGUUAUGGGAUAUAAUAGGCUUGCAGUAAAAUGCUCACCUCUCUCCACACGCCGAUGGCACGACAGUUGCAGUUGCGGGCGUAAAUUGGAGCCCUUUUCAGGACCCUUGUGGCUUAGCAUCCACCAUACAUAAUUUGACCUCGGAUCAGGUAGGGAUACCCGCUGAACUUAAGCAUAUC